UCAUACUUCCACUUAUGAACUCUCCACUGUCAGCCUUAUAAGUGGUACCAUCGCCAUCCUCCAGCCUAAUAUUCCAGUAUUGAACUGAUGAAGACAGAAGCAGUAGUCCCUUCAUGGUGAACUCUGUCCUGAUCCAGAGUGCUCUGCCUCAUAGGAGCAGGGACACUUGUCCUAUCUGCUGCAAAGGUCUGGGAUAACUUGACAUGCUCAGUGAAAAAGCUUUUGAGAAUCUCAGCUGUUUUGCCUCCAGUGAACACCAGACUGCACAUUAUUCUGUGGAACAUGACUGUCAAACAUUUUUGUUGGGUUGAUCAUGCGUGAAGGAUGGAAAUCUUUUGCAUCAGCAGGAAUGGUCUCUUCAAGAUGUUCAUGUCAUAGUAUUUCCUUUAUCAGGCACAAUUUAGCAUCCCCUCCCCAGUUGAGUCCCUUGAACAGGAAAAGAGUAAUAAGUGCCUUAUAAUUUUCUGGCUUGAUGUGGUUUUUAAGUACACCUUUUUUCUCUGUUGAGCAAUAAACACCAAAGCACUGUUAGAGGCAGUAAUUUCUCUUCCCUAUCGUUAAUGAAGAUUUUUACAGCUAGUCUUCUCUGUAUUACUGAUACAGCCUGACAAGUUCAGUAUAUCAAAUCAUUAAGCUUCUCUUUACAGUAUUUAGGAAAACAGCAUAGAAAGCAGAUGGCAAUCAUUUUCAUUUUUAGUACAGAAGCUCAAAAUUGUCUGGUGAGCUCUGUUACCCCUUGGAUAAUCCAUGAAACAAAAGGUAGAAGAAAAAAUCUAAUUCCCCUACAAUCUUAGCAGCUCCUAAAUCCUUCAAAGAUACUUGUUUUGGCUUUGAUUACACUUGGAAAAAAUGUAAUCCAAUUUUAUAUUGCUGUUGUAUAUAAUUGCUUGCUCUUUGACUAAACAUUAUUUCCCAUCCAGAAAUCCCCAUGUGAUUUGAAAACACUGCCCCCAUCACGGCUAUAUAUGAAUGUGUUGCUGCUGGCAGAGAAAUGACUAUGGAGUUUUUUGCAAAGUUUUUAUCAUUUGCCUAUGAAAGCAUAUAAUAUAUUUGUGUUAUCCUAGAAAUACCAUAAGCGUGGCCAUUAGUGGGUGGGCAGGAAGAAGAGCGAGGCAUUAUUUUUCUUUUUCUUGUGAAGGCUUAUGCAGAAUUCCCAGGACACAUCUUAUUUGACACAGCAAAAAAAAAAUAUUCUUGCAAACCUGC